CGUAAACAACCUGCCUUAAGGAUGGGGAUAACAGACGGAAACGACUGCUAAUACCGAAUACGUUCUAAGCAUCGCAUGGUGCAUAGAAGAAAGGGUGGCCUCUACAAGAAAGCUAUCGCCUUAAGAGGGGUUUGCGACUGAUUAGGUAGUUGGUGAGGUAACGGCUUACCAAGCCGACGAUCAGUAGCCGGUCUGAGAGGAUGAACGGCCACACUGGAACUGAGACACGGUCCAG
rnacentral:rRNA from 1 species